GUGAAAAAGGAAAGGAAAGGAAACAGAAUGGGAUCAGUUUCUGGAUGAGCGUGAGCCACUAGAGCCUCAGAGCCACUCACAAGCUAGCUAACACCGAAAACACCUCCUCAACAGAGGCUCCCAGAAAGUGAUCUCUGCGUGCUCGUAACUGAAAUCCAAUCAUCAGGAAUCCCAGUGCAGCAGGAUGUUAGAGAAAAUAAACAACAGUCUCCUGAGAGGUUCUACCACUGCUUGACAAAUUCAGAGGUUCAAUUCCACCAAACGUUGGUGAAUGAUGGCCCAAUCAGCCUGUACUUCCUUGCUCUCCUGCUGCAAUGUCAUAGACUUCUUCUUUAUAAGAUUCUCCUCCAUCAGGAGCCGGCUGUGCAGGUUACUGUAAGGACACUCUGCAUGGGGAUGGAAAAGUAUUGUUCUGAAAUCCUUGAUGUUCAAGAAUUGUGAUAACCAUGGAAAUGUUUUCACUACCCAGAGUCUCCAGUUCCACAUUACUGGAAAGGCCACCUCAGGCCACCCCUACCAGGAAGCUCAACAUCCACUUCCCAGGACUUACUCCACAUUCGCCAAGUCCACCUCCUUCGUCCUUCAUUACUCUCAGAUGGAAGGUCAGCAUCCUUCCUCCCCUCUCUGGUCUCUCUCCCAUCCACAUUGGCUCUCUGAAAAAGUCUGCAGAGUUGGGCAAACAAGGCCAUCACUGCAAUGUCCAGCCUCUGACUGAGAAAUCUCAGUGAGUUUGUUGUCACUACAACACUGGUGACAUCACAGAGGUUGCUAAGAACUCUCCAGGAGACAAUAGAAUGUCCAGGAAGGGACUGCUGAUAUCAUGGACUACAUACAGCCUUUGGUUCCCUGCUAAUGUUCUCCCUGUACUGACAGGAAGCUGAGCUGCCCUUUCCUGGGGCAUAGCCAUUGAGCACAUCCUCCUUCCAAAGCCAGGGUUUGCUCUAGGCUUGAUUGGCAACACCUAAGUAAUUCCUAUGUAUCUAACUCUGUGUUUCCUUUCCAAACCCCUCUCAGAAAUGUCUCAUCCUACCUUAAAUUUUCCUCAAUCAGCAAUAUGAACCAUUAAAAAACUACUGAGAAAUC
rnacentral:lncRNA from 1 species